rnacentral:rRNA from 1 species
UUUGGUAAUUUGUUUAAAUGAAAAAAGUAAGUGUAUUUUUUUAAGAAAAAUAAUUUUAAUUUUUAAGUAAUUUUUAAUGAAAGUUAGAUUUGACUAUAGCGAAAGAGUACUGUGAAGGAAAGAUAAAGAAAUAAGAUAGUAAAUAUUAAGUGUUGUACCUUGUGUAUCAGGGAGAAUCUAAAUAAAUUAUAUAAAUAAAAAUCUCGAAAUAAAAACAGUUAAUCUUACAUUCUUUUUUUGUAAAAAAUAAAUGUUAAAUGUGAAAUUAAAGGUGAAAUGUCAGUCGAGUUUUAUUAUAUCUAGUUUUUUAGGAGAAAAAUUUAAUUUUGUUUUUGCAAAGACCAGAUUGUAAAAAUUAAUUGUAGGAGGGAUUAGCUUCUUAUAAACGUAAUUAUAAAAAGUGUAGGUGAAUGUGUGUAAUUUUGAACUAGGGUUAAUAGUACUCUUGUUGGUAAAGUGUUUUAACUAAAUUAAGUAGUAGUAAAAUAUUUGCUUUUAACUUUUAAAUCACACUAAAAAAUUAAUUCUAAUGUGAAACGUUAAGAUAUAAUGGUUUUAUUAGUAAAAAAUUGUUAUUAAUUUAAAAAAUAAAAUAAUAAAUUUUGUUUAAAAAUAAAAGUAAAGUAUAAAGGAACUCGGCAAAUAAUUUUUCUGCCUGUUUAUCAAAAACAUGUCUGUUUGUAGUUGUAGAGAGUUUAACCUGCCCACUGAUAAAAAUUUAAAGGCCGCGGUAAUUUGACCGUGCAAAGGUAGCAUAGUAAUUAGUUUCUUAAUUGGGAUCUUGUAUGAAUGGUUGGACAAGAAAAAAUCUGUCUUUAUAUUUAUUAUUGAAUUUAACUUUUGAGUGAAAAGGCUUAAAUGAAUUAAAGGGACGAUAAGACCCUAUAAAACUUUAUAUUGUUUAUUAUAUAGUUGAAUUUUAUGGAAUAAAAGCUUAAUAAUAGGAUUUAUUAUAUUGGGGUGAUAAAGGUAAAAUUUUUGAUAACUGCUUAAUUUUUAAAAACAAAAAUAAAUGAAGUGUAAAAUGAUCCUAAUUAAAGAUUAAAAGUUUAAGUUACUUUAGGGAUAACAGCGUUAUUUUUUUUGAGAGUUCAUAUCGAAAAAAAAGUUUGCGACCUCGAUGUUGAAUUAAAAUUUCUAUAUAAUUGCAGCAGUUAUAUAAGAAGGUCUGUUCGACCUUUAAAUUUUUACAUGAUUUGAGUUCAAACCGGCGUGAGCCAGGUUGGUUUCUAUCUUUUAAUAAAAAAUUUAUUAUUUUAGUACGAAAGGAUUAAAUAAUAAAAAUUAUUUUGAUUUUGGU